rnacentral:lncRNA from 1 species
AGAGAAAAAGAGAAAAAGAGAAAAAGAGAAAAGAGAUCCAUCCUAGUGAGGGCACACACAUUUAUGAAUCACCCUGCCUGUGAAACACUGGGAUGACAGUUGAUAGCUGGGUCAGGAUUGGAAACAAGGUUGGACAGCUGAGUGAGUGUGCAUACUUCUCGGCCAUCUUUCCGUGAUGUUAACAAAACGUUUCAUUUUUUUUAUUUUUCUAUUCCAAAGUGAAUGCACAACAAUGAGGGGCCAACGCAGGUGAGUGGCCCCUAAAAAUUGUUCAUGUCGAUCGAUAUCCAGUAUUCAGUGACAGUGCAAGUAUUGUAGAGCACUCGCCAAGUGCCUUAAGCACUCAAACAAAACAGUUAAUCAGGAACGGCUGGCUUGGAAAGCAAUUGGCAAUCACCGAACCAUCAGUUAAACAAACAUCCCGGAGGUGCCUGAAAUAUAAAACCAAGUCCGAAUUAGACAAAUGAACACCUUUUAUUUUUAGCACUCAGAACUGUUGCAGAGUUCAAAUGUGGAGCUUAAAUAUUGUAAUUUGGCUUCGUUUUAGAGAUUCUCGACGUUAUGGCCUUGAAUCUAUCAAAAAUUCCAGCAAUCUCUGGGUGUCUGUCUGUCUGUCUGUGACCGCCGGUCCGAUCUCAUUGAAACUUGCCAGGAAUAUUGCCAGGGACCCGCGGAUGUGCCUUCGAGGUUUGAUAUCGAUUGGACGAGCGGUUCCCAAGUUACAGCCAUUUAUCUGUCGACCACAGGCCUGGCUUACGACGCCAUGUUCGGGGUGUUGGACGAACGCCAGAGAAAGCAGCCAUUUGCCGGAACAACCGAGCGGAAACAUGAAGCUCUCGCAAAACGUUCCCGGGCAAUUAUCACCUCUUUGUUUAGCCCGAUACGAAGAAGAGCCGGUUAGCGUCCGUAGAGCUGCUGAACGAGAUGUCGAUCGCCGAUGGAAAAAGGUCACGAUGGUAGCUGACCGUAGACGAAAACAAGAGGCAACGAGCACCACCAUCUGCAUCAUCAUCGACGUCGACAGAGUUUUCCGACUGAAAAUGAGCUCCAACCGACCGACCGAUCAUCCAUCCAUGUAUUUUUGUUAUCCUUUGCGAAAAGUAGGCGAGCUAUCGGCGGCACCAUGGUAA